CUGUCUGGAUCACAUAACAUUUACCCCUGAAUACGACUACAAUGUAAAGUCUGCAUUAAAAUCAGUCUGUGACGUCAAGCAGGUUGUUCUCUGUGUGGAACUGGAUCAUGUUCAAACUAAACCUGGGAAACGUUAUAGAACAUGAAGGUCUUUAUAGAACAUGAAGGUCUUUAUAGAACAUGAAGGUCUUUAUAGAACAUGAAGGUCUUUAUAGAACAUGAAGGUCUUUAUAGAACAUGAAGGUCUUUAUAGAACAUGAAGGUCUUUAUAGAACAUGAAGGUCUUUAUAGAACAUGAGGGUCUUUAUAGAACAUGAAGGUCUUUAUAGAACAUGAAGGUCUUUAUAGAACAUGAAGGUCUUUAUAGAACAUGAAGGUCUUUAUAGAACAGAAGGUCUUUAUAGAACAUGAAGGUCUUUAUAGAACAUGAAGGUCUUUAUAGAACAGAAGGUCUUUAUAGAACAUGAAGGUCUUUAUAGAACAGAAGGUCUUUAUAGAACAGAAGGUCUUUAUAGAACAUGAAGGUCUUUAUAGAACAUGAAGGUCUUUAUAGAACAGAAGGUCUUUAUAGAACAUGAAGGUCUUUAUAGAACAGAAGGUCUUUAUAGAACAGAAGGUCUUUAUAGAACAUGAAGGUCUUUGCAUAACAGAAGGUCUUUAUAGAACAUGAAGGUCUUUAUAGAACAUGAAGGUCUUUAUAGAACAGAAGGUCUUUAUAGAACAGAAGGUCUUUAUAGAACAUGAAGGUCUUUACAUAACAGAAGGUCUUUAUAGAACAUGAAGGUCUUUAUAGAACAUGAAGGUCUUUAUAGAACAGAGGGUCUUUAUAGAACAUGGGGGUCUUUAUAGAACAGAAGGUCUUUAUAGAACAGAAGGUCUUUAUAGAACAUGAGAGUCUUUAUAGAAUGUGAAGGUCUUUAUAGAACAGAAGGUCUUUAUAGAACAGAAGGUCUUUAUAGAACAUGAAGGUCUUUAUAGAACAGAAGGUCUUUAUAGAACAGAAGGUCUUUAUAGAACAUGAAGGUCUUUAUAGAACAGAAGGUCUUUAUAGAACAGAAGGUCUUUAUAGAACAUGAAGGUCUUUAUAGAACAGAAGGUCUUUAUAGAACAGAAGGUCUUUAUAGAACAUGAAGGUCUUUAUAGAACAGAAGGUCUUUAUAGAACAGAAGGUCUUUAUAGAACAUGAAGGUCUUUAUAGAACAUGAAGGUCUUUAUAGAACAUGAAGGUCUUUAUAGAACAGAAGGUCUUUAUAGAACAGAAGGUCUUUAUAGAACAUGAAGGUCUUUAUAGAACAGAAGGUCUUUAUAGAACAGAAGGUCUUUAUAGAACAUGAGGGUCUUUAUAGAACAUGAGGGUCUUUACAGAACAUGAGGGUGUAUUAGCUGUAUAUAAAAACCCUUUUGGAAUGAAUGGAGCUCCUUACCUUCAGGUAGUUCCUACGGCUCGCUGUCAUCUUUUUACUGAUUGGAUAAAGCAGAUCAGGGUCAUUUAAGGGAAAUAUACAAGGUGAAGCCACAGAGACAGGUACGUGACGAUUAAACAUUUUUAGGAAUUCAUUUUAUUACAUUACGGUAGGAAUAAUUGCAACACUAUUGGGAAUCAUCAUAGCAUAGUAUUACUCCGUUGUACUGCCUGGUUUUCUAUGUUGAAAACAUGUUCACAGACAGAAUACAGUAGAUGAAUACAGUAUAGUGAAGUAUAUUUUUCUGUAAACUGAAAAACGUAAACUUACUCAGACAUUUUGGCCUGUUGUUUUGUUUUAC